rnacentral:rRNA from 1 species
CCAUGCAUGUUUUUGACAUUUGAAAAAUGGACUGCUCAGUAAUACUCACUUUAUUUUAUGUAAAUUUUUAAUUAACUACGUUAAAGUGUAGAUAAGAUGUUUACAGUAAGAGUGAGACCUAUCAGCUAGUUGUUAAGGUAAUGGCUUAACAAGGCUGUGACGGGUAACGGUAUUACUUUGUAAUAUUCCGGAGAAGGAGCCUGAGAGACGGCUACUAAGUCUAAGGAUUGCAGCAGGGGCGAAACUUGACCUAUGGAUUUUAUCUGAGGCAGUUAUGGGAAGUAAUAUUAUAUUGUUUCAUAUUUUAAAAGUAUAUGAGGUGAUUAAUUGGAGGGCAAAUCAAGUGCCAGCAGCCGCGGUAAUACUUGUUCCAAGAGUGUGUAUGAUGAUUGAUGCAGUUAAAAAGUCCGUAGUUUAUUUUUUUA